AUGGAGGAUCUCCCGGAGCCACUGCUUGCAGAUAUCAUCGAGAGGAUUACCGUGUCGAGUGAUCUCAAUUCUCUUUGCCUCGUGUCAAAGCGGCUCUAUGCCGUCGAGGCGGAGCAUAGGCGUGCUCUCCGUGUUGGCUGUGGUGUUGACCCUACAACGGAAGCCUUGACAUCACUGUUCUCCCGGUUCUCCAAUUUGUGGAAAGUGGAGAUCAAUUACUCUGGUUGGACGCCCAGUCAUGGGGACCAGGUGAACAGCCAAAGCAUCCUUGUUCUAUCGCAUCAUUGCCCCUUGCUGUCUGAUCUCACCUUAAGCUUCUGUGCACACAUUGAUGAUGAUGGCCUUAGUUAUCUACCUUACUGCAAAAAGUUGAGGUCCCUCAGGCCGAGCUUUGCACCAGCAGUAACUUCUACUGGGAUUUUCCGAGUGGCCGUUAGUUGCUGCUAUCUCUCUGUUUUCCACCUUGUUGACUGUAUAGCAAUAGACAACGUGGAGUGGCUGGAGUACCUUGGGAAGUAUGGAUCAUUGGGAGAACUUGUUGUGAAGGAUUGCGAUGGAAUCAGCCAGUGUGACCUCCUAAAAUUUGGUCCCGGAUGGAGGAAGCUCCAAAGGUUUGAGUUUGAGGUUAAUGGAACUUACUGGUUGAGCGAGCCCCGUGACCCCUCCUAUGUGUCUGGCUACCCAUAUGGCUAUGACCUCUGCUGUGAUAGUUUGAAGGAUCUUAGGUUGGCUCAUAUUAUAACCGAUCGAGAAAUUGGGCUUCGUUUUCUACUGGGGAAGUGCAACACAUUGGAGACACUUUACCUGGAGUAUGUUAUUGGUCUACAUGAGAAUGAGAUGAUUUCACUAUUCCAGAGGUGCAGCAACCUUAAAACCGUCUCACUUCGACUCAAGCCUCUGCACUGUGAAGAUUUUGAGUAUAGGGCAGCACUGACUGAUGCUAGCCUUAAGGCUCUAGCUGCCAGCUGCCCGAUGCUUCAGGUUGUUGAGCUCACUUUCGCAUUCUGCGAACCCGACUAG
rnacentral:rRNA from 1 species